UACAGAGGGGGCAAGCGUUGUUCGGAAUUACUGGGCGUAAAGGGCGCGUAGGCGGCCUUCUAAGUCGAACGUGAAAUCCCCGGGCUCAACCCGGGAACUGCGUCCGAUACUGGAAGGCUUGAAUCCGGGAGAGGGAUGCGGAAUUCCAGGUGUAGCGGUGAAAUGCGCAGAUAUCAGGAGGAACACCAAUUGCGAAGGCAGCUCGCUGGGACGUUACUGACGCUGAGACGCGAAAGCGUGGGGAGCAAACAGG
rnacentral:rRNA from 1 species